rnacentral:lncRNA from 1 species
AAAAGUUUACACACACGUCGGACUUUCCAAUUAAAUCAAACAAAUAAUAUAAACAUAUAUAAAUUAGUUUAAAAACCCAUGUUACAUACACGUCAAAACUAGCUAAAAAAGCAACAUGCUAGUGGAUUGAACAAAAGAGCUUAGAUUGUAAGAAGCACUUUUAAACCAUAUAUAUUUUUUACAUUCAAAUUUAUAUAUAAGGGAAAUAAUAUAUAUUACUACUUUAAGAAGAAA